UUCAUGCUUCGGGCGGGGAAAAAAGACAGAGAAUUGGGUUUUUUUUUUUCUUCAUAGGAUUUUGGGAAGACUGAGGCAAUCGUUGCUGAAGUCAGUGUUGUAAUGGUGAAUCGGGAUUUUUAAUGAAGUGGGUUUGAUUACUCUUGAUUAUUUUAUGAAAUUGAGUUACGUCUGUGAUGAAGAAUUAAAAGGGUGUCUAUAGGAUUGAGUAUGCGGAGUGAAUGAAAUUU
rnacentral:lncRNA from 1 species